UACGUAGGUGGCAAGCGUUGUCCGGAUUUACUGGGUGUAAAGGGCGUGUAGCCGGGCUGACAAGUCAGAUGUGAAAUCCGGGGGCUCAACCCCCGAACUGCAUUUGAAACUGUUGGUCUUGAGUAUCGGAGGGGCAGGCGGAAUUCCUAGUGUAGCGGUGAAAUGCGUAGAUAUUAGGAGGAACACCAGUGGCGAAAGCGGCUCUCUGGCCUGUAACUGACACUGAGGCUCGAAAGCGUGGGGAGCAAACAGG
rnacentral:rRNA from 1 species